rnacentral:lncRNA from 1 species
UUUUUGUUUUUUUUUUUGUUUUUUUGUCCUGGUGUCAUGAGUUAUGGGACUGAUUAAUUGGUGCUAAUUGAUUUGUUAGCUUUGGAGCCCUGCAGGGAGUGAAGCACUUCACAGAAUGAUGCUUCUGGAAGCAUGAAGGGACACAGACCAACUCCUGAACCAUGGUGGAUAUCUCCCUUAAAACAAUGUUUAUCCUUUAAGGGGGGGGGGGGGGUGCCAAAAAGACAAAGAGAAAGGAGGCAGGAAAAGAGGGAAGGCUGGAAGGAGACAAGGAAGAAAAGGAUGUAUUUUUAAGUGAAAAAAUAUUAAACUGGUCUUUGGUAUUUGGAACUACGUAUGCUAUUUAGUUUGGGGCUUCAUUAAAGUGAUGGAUAGAAAAAGAGCCUCUGUAAGGUCAGCUCUGUUGGUUUCUAAGCAUCUUUCAUACGUGCCUGGAUCCCACCACUUACUUCCUAUUUAAAUCCAAGUUUUUACUUCAGACUUAACAUACGUCACAAAAAUGUAUACAGGAUUUCCUAGAGGACCUUUCUUAAGUACACAUUUGUUGCUAGAAAGAUUGUGUGCGUGUGUGUGUGUGUGCGCGCGUAACAUAUCAGAAUCUUCAGGGCAGAGAUAUUUUUUUAAUGGGAUGAAAGUGAGAAAAAAAAACAAUCAUAGUAUCCCAACAGAUCUAUUUUUAUCUUUUCUUGGUUUCACUACCAUUAACCUAAAUUCUAAUUUCUCUGGAUCGCAUUAAAGGAUCCCCAAUCUGAUCCCACCUAUGAAGACAGCAUGUUCCUAAAGCUACAGUCCUGGGAAAUUAAUUUUGCUUAAUUUUGCUCCCAGAAAUGAGAGCCAGGAUUUUGCACAAGUUGUUUCCUCUGCCUGGAAGUCAAGUCUGGGUCACCGGUCAUAUAUGCACAAAGACAUAAUAAUACCAAAACUAUUAUGUAAUUAGAAAUAUCAGAUGAUCCCACUCUGCUCUCUAGAAAUGAGCAUGUAGAAAAUAUUUGAAAAAAAAAACCCUAGGAAUAAAAGAUUUUUAAAAGAAUUUAGGGACACCUGGGUGGCUCAGCAGUUGAACCUCUGUCUUCGGCUCAGGGCAUGGUCCCAGGAUCCUGGGAUCGAGUCUCGCCCGCAUCGGGCUCCCCGCAGGAAGUCUGAUUCUCCUUCUGCCUGUGUCUCUGCCUCUCACUGUGUCUCUCAGGAAUAAAUAAAUAAAAUCUUUAAAAAAAAUAAUAUUAACAAGCAGUACACGUAAUUAAGCUAUGAAGAUUUUAAGUAAUACAAGCAUAUAUUUAAGAAACAGAAUAGUUAUGUAUUCAUUUUUAUGGUUUCCUUUUUCAAAAUGGUGAGCUAAAUUUGUUUUCUUUCAUAAGCAGUAAUAUUAAAGUUUCUUUCAAAAUCAACACACUUAAAAACAGAAGGUUGGAUUGAGGAAAAUAUUGAAAAUAAUAUUUCUGCUGCUGUGAGUUAUUAUCAAAACCAGGAGGGAGGGAUAACAUUGACGAAAUUCUAGAGGGGAAAUAAUACUAAAAAUAUAUUCUUCAGUUAGGCAGGACUGGGGAAACCUAACGUGUAACAUCUACCAAACAACUUUCUUCCAGAACAUUUCUUCUUCUUUUUUUUUUUUUUAAGAUUGUAUUUAUUUAUUUAUUUAUUUAUUUAUUUGAGAGAAAGUAAGCACAAGAGUACAAGCAGGGGCAGAGGGAGAGGGAGAAGCCGACUCUCCAUUGAGCAGGGAGCCCAAAGCGGGGGGUCUGGAUCCCAGGCCCCUGGGAAAGUGACCUGAGCUGAAGGCAGACGCUUAACUGACGGAGCCCCCCAGGCUCCCCAUCGCCAUGUUUCUUUUUUAACUACACAAAUAGUCCGAAAAAAAUAGAGACUUCCUAUUUUUAUUCCCCACCCAUCCCACCCCGUUUCCUCCAAUGGUAACGUUUUGCGAAACUACUGCCCAGGGUCAAAACCAGGAUAUUGACCAUGAUGUAGUCCAACUAUAGAACGUCCCCAUCACCACAAAAACCCACUGUCACCAUCUAUCUACCCAGGUACCCACUCUCACCCCACACCUGACACCUGGAAACCACUAAUAGUUUUCCUUUUCUACAACUUGGUCAUUUCAUGAGUAUUGUAAGAACCGUUACACAGUAUGGGUACUUCGAGGGUUGACUUCUCACAACCAGUAUAAUCCCCUAAAGAUUCAAACGAGCCAUCAAACAGAUGUGCAGUACUUACCUUCAUAUGGCUGCAUCCUGUCAUAUGGACUUAUCAGGAUUUGUGUGGACAUCCACUCUCCUUUCUCUUCCGUAUGGCCAAGAGUUUAAUCACUGGGUUACGCACAUUACAGCUGACAGUCGCAUGUUGAGUGUUUUCAAGAACUGCCAAACUCUUUCUUUCCACAGGGGCUGUAGCAUUUCACAUUCGCACCAGCAAUGUGUCCGCGAUCCAGUUUGUCCACACCCUUGCCAGCGUUUGAGGUGGACACUCUCUUUUACUUUAUCCAUUUUGAUAAGUAUCUAAGGGGAUCACACUGCGGUUUGAGCUUGCAUUUACUUCAUCAAUAGUGACGCUGAACAUCUUUCAUGUGCUUAUUUGUGAAUCUGUAGAUCUUCGCUGGUGAAUUGUCUGUUGAUGUCUUUGCCCAUUUUCUCAUUGAAUGAAUCACUGCUGAGUUUGGAGAGUUAUUUUCUAGAUACUAUCCCCUUUUCAGAUAGGUGAGUAGCAAAUAUUUUCUUGUCCUCUGUAGCUUGCUCUGUCGGUCUUGACAGAGUCUUACAGAUCAAAACUUUUCAAUCUUGAUCAGCUGAAUUUUUCUUUUCCUUUUAUGGAUUGUUUCUGAUGUCAAGUAUAAGAAGUGUUUGCCUUGCCCUAAUGUCACUGAUGAAUUUUACCUCAAAUGUAUGCAGUCAAUUUUGCGGACCGUAAGAGAGAGAGUCCUGAACAAUUCACUGCUCUAUUCAUGUUUAGGAUUUUAAGAAAAAUCCUAUUAACUCUGUUGUGCACUACUAUCUCUGGGAAGUCCUGAAGGCAAGUUUUCUUGAUCUCAAUGACAGGUAAAGUGUGCCUCCCUGAAAAAAUGAACAUUCUUAAAUUACGUAGUGACUGAAUUACAUAAUUUCAGCAUAUUUCUCUCAGUGUGUAUGUCUAUGUUAUACUCUGC